rnacentral:rRNA from 1 species
CCUACGGGGGGCUGCAGUGGGGAAUAUUGGACAAUGGGGGGAACCCUGAUCCAGCCAUGCCGCGUGUGUGAAGAAGGCCCUCGGGUUGUAAAGCACUUUCAGUGAGGAAGAACGCCUGGUGGUUAAUACCCAUCAGGAAAGACAUCACUCACAGAAGAAGCACCGGCUAACUCCGUGCCAGCAGCCGCGGUAAUACGGAGGGUGCGAGCGUUAAUCGGAAUUACUGGGCGUAAAGCGCGCGUAGGUGGCUUGAUAAGCCGGUUGUGAAAGCCCCGGGCUCAACCUGGGAACGGCAUUCGGAACUGUCAAGCUAGAGUGCAGGAGAGGAAGGUAGAAUUCCCGGUGUAGCGGUGAAAUGCGUAGAGAUCGGGAGGAAUACCAGUGGCGAAGGCGGCCUUCUGGACUGACACUGACACUGAGGUGCGAAAGCGUGGGUAGCAAACAGGAUUAGAUACCCGGGUAGUC